rnacentral:autocatalytically_spliced_intron from 15 species
CUGUUAUUGGAAUUUGAUAGUUGUGCGAUGGGGUUCAUACCUUAACUGCCAAAACGGGACCCCUUUUGGGGUAUAAAUCUUGUAAAAGGAUUAUAUUCCGUACUAAGGAUAUUUGAUAAUAUCCGGAAUGUCUAGAGACUACACGGCAAGCCAAUUGGUGGUAUGAAUGGAUAGUCCCUAGUUUUUUUUACCAUCUAGGUAUCCCAUACAAAAUGGUAA